GUCUUUCUGUGUCCAGGUUCGGCUCCUGGUUUGCUGUGGAGCAGCGGAGGUGACGGGGGGGCAGUGCCAGCUCCUGGAUACCCUGGGGUCGUGGGCUUGGCGGGGAUACUGCUGUUACCGACCCGGCUGGGGACGUGUCGGCAGGGCCGUGUCGGCGGGUCUGGUGAACCAGUUUUGCAGGAUGAAUGCUGUGACUGAAGAAGUUAAGCCAGAAGAUCACAAACUGGAAUCUGAGAAAAAGAUAUUUUACAGUGAAGUUUGUAAAGUUCCAUGUAUGAGUUCUAUAAGUCUUCAGUCACACUAUCGUGGUGCAAAGCAUAGAAAGAAAGAGAAAGCCUUGAGACCCAACACUGUCUAUUGUCUUUCUGCUCCAGUCCGAACUUCAGUGAAGUAUGAAACACAGAGACCAGGUAAAUACAUGUAAAUAAGCUAAUGUCCUUUUUUCAAGUGUAACUUUGAAACCAGUGGGUUUUGUUUUAAAGAUGACCACAGCAGGUGGCUGAUUGUGGUUUUGGAAGAAGCAAUCCUUGUUACCAGAUAUUUGGACCAUUGAUUUUCAUCUGUG
rnacentral:lncRNA from 14 species